GCAGUGCUGGUUCAGUGGUAGAAUUCUCGCCUUCUAAGCGGGACACAUGGGGUUGAUUCCCACCCAGGGCA
rnacentral:tRNA from 1 species